AUGAUACAUUUUUUGAUAUUUUUACUGAAAACAAGACAAAAAUACCAAGUAAUUUUUUGCAGUGUGACUCCAUUAAAUGUGUGUGUGUGUGUGUGUAGAUUAAACAUGAACGGGCCAAAACGGACAUGGCAGCAGGUCAAAAUCAAAUACAAGAACAUUCUGCAGAAUGCAGUGAAAAAGAAUACCCACAGACAAGGCACGGGUGGUGGGUCACCAAAGGCUGACCUUACCCCAGCAGAGGACAUGGCCUUGGAGCUAAAUAAAGGCAGGCCCGUCUUAGAGGGGAUCCCUGGGGGGAAAGAGACAAGCAUAGGUUCCUCCCAAGAUGCCACCCGCUUCAUUCAAGUGUCUGGCAGCACUGAGUUCCUGUUAGAGCCACCAGCACAAGCACCAGACGAUGCUGAUCCAGGUGAAGGCCCCAGUGCAGCAGCAACAGCACAUGAUGGAGACGAUGAUGAGGAGGAGACCAUCUCUCUGGAUUCCAGAAGGCAUGAGGUAUCAUGUUAAGACUGUGAAAGUACUAUUUACUCUACAAUGGUGAGGAGUCCUCAUCAAAAUCAAAAAAUCUAAUUUCUUUUACAGGACCCAGAUGCUAUACAGUGGGAAAACCAGCCUGGCAACAUAGUGCGUAUUAAUAAAAGGACACCACAUCCUGCCAAAUUCCAGCUGCGCUAAUUGUAUUGUGUUCACAGAGCUCACAAGCUAUCAGAAAGUUGUAUGGCAACCACCUCCGGCGCCAAAUAGAACUGGCAGACAUAGACAUUCAGUACAAGAAGAAAAAGAUGGAAAAUCUUGCACUGGAGUUCGAAAUAAAAAAGAGGACAAUUAGGAAACUGGACCUUGAAAUAAAAAAACUUGAGAGGGAGGUGAGAUAUGCCUUCAAUGUACACUGUAUGCUAACUGUAACACAAAUGUAUUAAUCAUUAUUUUUCUUUCCUCCCCCAGCUCCAAGAAGAUGACACAGCUCAAAAUAAAAAUUUGGUAUAUUCUCGUAAAGUCAAGUGAGCCAUGACAUAUGAGCUCUUAUUGUGAGCACACAGGACGGUGGCAUCUUUCUAAGGUUUUUUUUAUUUUCCCAGCAAUCAGUACAACCAAGUCAUCGUUAUAAGGCAUCGCCCUCUUUUGCCCACCCCCCCAGCACCAGGUGUGACCACUAGCCUAUAUGAAGGCCCAAAAUUGUGUGUUCCUUUCUGCUCUGACAAUGGCAUGCCCAUUCGUGCGAGAUGUGGUGGAUGAAGAAGCACUUGUGCUGAGGAGAGCCUUCAGGCGAGAAAGGGUCUUCAGGGACCGGUUGGACCCACUGGCCUUCCCUGAUGACCAUCUAUAUGAAAGAUACAGGUUUUCUGCAGAUGGCAUCAGGUAUCUAUGCAGACUACUGGGUCCCAGGAUUAAGCACCGCACUGCACGGAGCCAUGCACUGAGUGUGGAGCAAAUGGUUUGUGUGGCCUUGCGCUUUUUUGCUAGUGGAGCCUUCCUGUACUCAGUGGGGGAUGCAGAACAGCUGAACAAGGCCACAAUUUGCCGCACAAUAAGGAGUGUGUGUCUGGCUAUCAAAGCAUUAGCAGAUGUCUUCAUCUCCUUCCCUGGCCACAGAAGACUCUGUGACAUCAAAGAGGAGUUCUAUAGGAUUGCAGGUAAGAGGAUCUACAAAUUACAGGACCACUGUUAACACAUAGUAGGAUACUCAUUACUUUGUGUGACAGGUUUCCCCAAUGUCAUUGGUGCAGUGGACUGCACACACAAGGAUAAAAGCCCCCUCAGGUGCCCAUGAGGCCAAUUUUGUGAAUAGGAAAUCCUUUCACAGCAUUAAUGUUCAGGUGAACAUAACUUUUUGAUAUUGUCCAUUGACGAACACUCUGCAUUGCCAGUGAUGUGCAUUGAUUGGUGUAAUAUUCCUCAUCUUAUGAUUUCAAAUGGUCUGCAAUGCUGACUGUGUGAUCAGCAAUGUUGUGGCAAAAUGGCCUGGCUCAGUCCAUGACUCCAGAAUCUUUCGGGCCUCUGAAAUCUAUCAGUGCCUAUCACAAGGUAAGCCACACAACCCCUAUUUAUAACCAUCAUGGCUGUGUCAAGAAUAUCACUGUGUUUAUGAGGUAGUAAUGAUGAGAUUUUGUGUUGACAGGUGAAUUCUCUGGUGUGUUGCUGGGAGACAGGGGGUAUGGCUGCCAGCCUUUUCUCCUGACACCUUUCACAGACCCCCAGGAAGCACCGCAGGCCUACAACCAUGCCAGGACCAGGGCCAGAGUUGAAAUGACCUUUGGCCUCCUGAAGGCACGCUUUCACUGCCUUCACAAAUUAAGGGUCAGCCCUGUUAGGGCAUGUGAUAUUACUGUGGCUUGUGCUGUCCUCCACAAUGUGGCCUGCCUGAGGAAGGAGAGGGCCCCCAGAGUGCCACCAGCCAUGGACUGGGACAAUCCGGCAAUCUUCCCUGAUGACGACAGUGGUCGGCUGCUGAGGGACCAAUAUGUGUUGAAUUAUUUUAGUUAGUAUGUGUGCUUUCAACUUUGGUUAAAUAUGUCCUGCGGUGGCAGAGGAAUUCGGGUUUUUUGGGGUUCGUUUUUUGACGAAUUUGGCCUCUUAUGAUGUUUGUGCGGUAUACUGUGUGUAAUACAAGGCUGCAGGGAGGCUACUGCAUCCAUUCAUUUGUCUGUUCAGUUGAUGUGUAUGGAUUUGUCCUGCAUUUAUUUUAGUGUGCAGACAUGCAGGGUGUGUUAUAUACAGACCUUUGAAUGUGUAUGUAUCAUUUUGUAUAAUAUGCUUGGAUUCUGUGCUUUCCAUCUUGUAGAGUCACUGUGACUUCAGUUUCGAAAGGAGCUGAUGGUUUACCUGCUUUGUUUUGUCCUUAUUCAAUAAAGGAACAUAAUGUUACACAUUGUGUUUUUAUAUUCAUAUGGAAUGUGUAUUUGUUUAUAUGACAGAGUACUAGGGCCACACUGAAGAAAAAGGAUAAAGUCAUAAAUUUAUGAGGCUGGUUCUUUCUGCAGAAAAGCUACAUAUUGUUUUUACAGUUUUGAUACUUAUGACA
rnacentral:lncRNA from 1 species